AAAAAAAAAAAGAGGAAAGAUACUACAAAUAAUGGUAACCAAAUUGAAUCAGCCCGACUGAAAACACAAUUUGCCCAAAUAAAACCCAUUCAACAGUAGCCCAGUUUAAGAUAGUAGCCUAAACCACUAAAAUAACAUUGACCCAAUAAAAGCCCAGUAAGUGUAAGAUUGGAUUAUACCUUUACAGUCCAAUUUCUUCUCCAAAUCACGUACAUGCACAAAUCCAAUUUCUUCUCCAAAAUGAUGUACAGACAACCAAUCGGAGAGUGCUGCACCAAAAUCCACACUCAUUGCACCAAAAAAUCAUAGCAAACCCAACUAGAAAUCAUGAACGGGUCUGCUUAAA
rnacentral:lncRNA from 1 species